CCGGCUCUGUUCUUCCCCUAUUUCGAUUCUCACUCUUUUUGGCCUGUGUGAUUCAUCUCUCUCAGGCGUACUCUUCUUCGUUUUUUUCUUUCUGUUAUGGUUUUUCGUCUCGAUGUUAAUUAGAUGACAUUUCAUUCUGAAGUUUCCGUUUCACCUCAUUUUCUGUGGUUGUUUGAGAAAUCGAAUUGGUUGUAAAAUGUUUUAACUCUGCGUAAGCACAACCAUAAGCCAUCAUGAUUGAGAUUCUUCUUCGGCUCUUCUGUUCUGAUGCUACUAAACUUAUUAAGACACAUUGUUUGUCGUUUUUUUUGAGAUUCUUCUUCGGCUCUUCUGUUCUGAUGCUACUAAACUUAUUAAGACACAUUGUUUGUCGUUUUUUUUGAUAAGAUCUUCUCUUUUCCUUCAGUCUAUGAAAGAUAUGAUUUUGAAGUACUUGCAUUGAUGUCGCAGGAGAUUUCUAGAUUGUUUCUCCAUUGACACCACACAGACACUCAAUGUGUCUGGAAGUGAGUUCUCUAGCUCAUAAUGGCUAAUAUUCUCUGUGGCUAUGCUGUUUUUUUGCUUGUAGAUUUUCAAAUUGUUGUUUGCUGCAAUCAAUGUUUGAGCUCAGCGUAUUUUCAAUGUAUGUGCUAAGUCAUUAAAUCUUGCAAGGCAGAUUUGGAUAAACGGAUACUUGAGCUACCAUUACUGUCAACAAAGUUUGAACAUUUGUGCAAAACAUUUGAUCUUGUAGGACUAGUAGUAAACACGCUUGUGUAGGUGGUUAGGUGAUUAACAGAUGCUCGAGCUAAAAUUACUAUCUUUUGAUGUAAAACGUUUGAUCAUUGAUAAAUUUCAUCUUUAUCACCUGAUCGGAAGGCUUUUUUUUUUUCUGGCGAAUGCACGAAGCCCAAUGUGAAACUUGAUCCUUGCUUUCGACAAGAAGUCAAAUUUCCCAGUUUCAGCUCAACUUCCUGAUCGGUUAUCCCAACAUUUUGCAGAAACGGAAAACAAAAAGUUUGGAGAAAGCAAGAAACUUUUUGAAAGAAUGAAAGCUACAAGGAAAGAGGAGAAACAGCAAAUACUCUAAAACAACUAGAGUCUUCCAAGUCAAACUGUCACUUUGACU
rnacentral:lncRNA from 1 species